rnacentral:rRNA from 1 species
AUGACGCUCCUUAGCUGGAACUGUCGGGGGAUUGGGCAACCCCGUACAGUUCGAGAGCUAGUGGGCCUAGUGCACACUCACAAGCCUAAGUUGGUAUUUCUGUCGGAAACAAGGAAAAGCGAUGAGUACGUGAAUAACUUGAGAUGGAGGCUAGGCCUCAGGCAUUGUAUUGUGCGUUCUGGUACUGGUAAGGGGGGCGGGAUUGCACUAUUUUAUGAUGAAAAU